GAAAAGAAAGUUUAACAACUCCUAUUCUCAAAGGUCGUCUUCUUCAAAACCCCAUAUCGAUAUCCUUUUUACUUUUUUUUACUUUAUUAUACACUUCGAAAUGUUAUACCUUAUAAAUUUUAUAAAGAACGUCCGCAUCUUAUUAGCCAUUCCAUUGGUCUAUAAAAGGUUGCUUUUGAAAAAGGCACCUAAUAACAAAUCCAGUGU
rnacentral:misc_RNA from 1 species